CCGCGACCCCAGGUCACGCGGGAUUACCCGCUGAGU
rnacentral:rRNA from 1 species